rnacentral:rRNA from 1 species
AUGAACGCUAGCGGCAGGCUCAAUACAUGCAAGUCGUGGGGCAGCAGGUUUGUAGCAAUACAGAUGCUGGCGACCGGCAAACGGGUGCGGAACACGUACAGAACCUUCCUUUGAGCGGGGAAUAGCCCAGAGAAAUUUGGAUUAAUACCCCAUAGUAUAAUGAAGUGGCAUCACUUUAUUAUUAAAGAUUUAUCACUCGAAGAUGGCUGUGCGGCUGAUUAGGUAGUUGGCGGGGUAAAGGCCCACCAAGCCUGCGAUCAGUAACUGGUGUGAGAGCACGACCAGUCACACGGGCACUGAGACACGGGCCCGACUCCUACGGGAGGCAGCAGUAAGGAAUAUUGGUCAAUGGAGGCAACUCUGAACCAGCCAUGCCGCGUGGAGGAUGAAGGUCUUCUGGAUUGUAAACUUCUUUUAUAUGGGACGAAAAAAGGCUUUCUAAGUCGUCUGACGGUACCAUAUGAAUAAGCACCGGCUAACUCCGUG